rnacentral:lncRNA from 1 species
UGGUGCAGUACGGGCGAGCAGGAGCUUCCCUGCCCUUUCCAAAGGACCCAGUGAAAUACUGCACCUCUCCUGCAGGAGGGGCAGCCUGCCCCCUCAGCCCAGCCUUCCCCAGGUGCCACCCCCAACCCUGCCUGACACCUCAGAGCAGCAGCUUGGUGACAUGAAAGGACCUCCGUGGCUGGCCUUACUCCCUGUGGAUGCCACAGCUGCAGGAUCCUGGGGCCCCAACAGAAGCCGGUGAAGGAAGAGUUCCUGCUCCAGCAGAACAAAACUGCCCUUUGCCCAGAAAUCCUGCAAACUGAGGCUGGACGACUUGAAAUACUCAUCAGCGAGAUUACCACGAAGCCCAGGUGCGAGGGACCCUCACGCCUGUUGCUGCGUGGGCCGCCCAGACAUCGCCAGAGACCAAACCGCAGAAGAUGCUCGGAGCCCAACAUCUACAAACCUGCCCCGCCACGGCCCCCAGGCUCAGAAACUGGUUUUUAGUCAGCUCCAAUGAUUAGCUUUUUUUUUUUUUCUUUUGUUUCCAUAGAAAUGCCUCUUCAAAGCAUUAUGGGACAACACACCCACCCAGUUUCUGUACCGUGGAGCUUCUUGGGGAAGUUUCAGACUAGGAAACAAUGGGGCUCAGGACACAUCACCCCAAAGUAUGACUGUAGGAGACCAGAAUACGCCACCCCUAAAUAUGACUAUAGGAGACCAGAAUACGUCACCCCAAAAUAUGACUGUAGGAGACCAGAAUACGCCACCCCAAAAUAUGACUGUAGGAGACCAGAAUACGCCACCCCAAAAUAUGACUGUAGGAGACCAGAAUACGCCACCCCUAAAUAUGACUGUAGGAGACUAGAAUACGUCACCCCAAAAUAUGACUGUAGGAGACCAGAAUACGUCACCCCAAAAUAUGACUGUAGGAGACCAGAAUACGUCACCCCAAAAUAUGCCAUGUUGACAUGUUGAUUACUUUGAGCUAAAAGCAACUGAGAACCAGCCAACAGAAAAAAAGCUCUUCAGCUCCCUAAAAUAAAGUAAAAAACUCUCUUUUCUAAAGAAAA